rnacentral:rRNA from 1 species
AGCGAACGCUGGCGGCAGGCCUAACACAUGCAAGUCGAACGGAUCCUUCGGGACUAGUGGCGGACGGGUGAGUAACACGUGGGAACGUGCCCUUUGGUUCGGAACAACUCAGGGAAACUUGAGCUAAUACCGGAUGUGCCCUUCGGGGGAAAGAUUUAUCGCCAUUGGAGCGGCCCGCGUCUGAUUAGCUAGUUGGUGAGGUAAAGGCUCACCAAGGCGACGAUCAGUAGCUGGUCUGAGAGGAUGAUCAGCCACAUUGGGACUGAGACACGGCCCAAACUCCUACGGGAGGCAGCAGUGGGGAAUCUUGCGCAAUGGGCGAAAGCCCGACGCAGCCAUGCCGCGUGAAUGAUGAAGGUCUUAGGAUUGUAAAAUUCUUUCACCGGGGACGAUAAUGACGGUACCCGGAGAAGAAGCCCCGGCUAACUUCGUGCCAGCAGCCGCAGUAACAC